rnacentral:rRNA from 1 species
GGAUUUACCCAUUGGUCAGGCUUAAUUGUCUGUACUGGUGAGAUGGAUCUCUACCUUCUGAGGAACUUUCAUGCCAUUUAUUUGGUGUGAUGGGAAAUCAGGACUGUUACUUUGAAAAAAUUAGAGUGUUUAAAGCAGACUAUCGUCUGAAUACAUUAGCAUGGAAUAAUGAAAUAGGACGGACUGAUUCUAUUUCGUUGGUUUCUAGGAUCACCGUAAU